rnacentral:rRNA from 1 species
GGGUUGUGAGGUUAAGCGACUAAGCGUACACGGUGGAUGCCCUGGCAGUCAGAGGCGAUGAAGGACGUGCUAAUCUGCGAAAAGCGUCGGUAAGGUGAUAUGAACCGUUAUAGCCGGCGAUGUCCGAAUGGGGAAACCCAGUGCAAUUCGUUGCACUAUCGUUUGAUGAAUACAUAGUCAAACGAGGCGAACCGGGGGAACUGAAACAUCUAAGUACCCCGAGGAAAAGAAAUCAACCGAGAUUCCCCCAGUAGCGGCGAGCGAACGGGGAGCAGCCCGGAGUCUGAAUCAGCUUGUGUGUUAGUGGAAGCGUCUGGAAAGUCGCAGGGUACAGGGUGAUACUCCCGUACACUAAAACGCACAGGUUGUGAACUCGAAGAGUAGGGCGGGACACGUGGUAUCCUGUCUGAAUAUGGGGGGACCAUCCUCCAAGGCUAAAUACUCCUGACUGACCGAUAGUGAACCAGUACCGUGAGGGAAAGGCGAAAAGAACCCCGGCGAGGGGAGUGAAAAAGAACCUGAAACCGUGUACGUACAAGCAGUAGGAGCCCACUAGUUGGGUGACUGCGUACCUUUUGUAUAAUGGGUCAGCGACUUAUAUUCUGUAGCAAGGUUAACCGUAUAGGGGAGCCGCAGGGAAACCGAGUCUUAACUGGGCGUUAAGUUGCAGGGUAUAGACCCGAAACCCGGUGAUCUAGCCAUGGGCAGGUUGAAGGUUGGGUAACACUAACUGGAGGACCGAACCGACUAAUGUUGAAAAAUUAGCGGAUGACUUGUGGCUGGGGGUGAAAGGCCAAUCAAACCGGGAGAUAGCUGGUUCUCCCCGAAAGCUAUUUAGGUAGCGCCUCGUGAACUCAUCUUCGGGGGUAGAGCACUGUUUCGGCUAGGGGGUCAUCCCGACUUACCAACCCGAUGCAAACUACGAAUACCGAAGAAUGUUAUCACGGGAGACACACGGCGGGUGCUAACGUCCGUCGUGAAGAGGGAAACAACCCAGACCGCCAGCUAAGGUCCCAAAGUCAUGGUUAAGUGGGAAACGAUGUGGGAAGGCCCAGACAGCCAGGAUGUUGGCUUAGAAGCAGCCAUCAUUUAAAGAAAGCGUAAUAGCUCACUGGUCGAGUCGGCCUGCGCGGAAGAUGUAACGGGGCUAAACCAUGCACCGAAGCUGCGGCAGCGACGCUUAUGCGUUGUUGGGUAGGGGAGCGUUCUGUAAGCCGUUGAAGGUGGCCUGUGAGGGUUGCUGGAGGUAUCAGAAGUGCGAAUGCUGACAUAAGUAACGAUAAUGCGGGUGAAAAACCCGCACGCCGGAAGACCAAGGGUUCCUGUCCAACGUUAAUCGGGGCAGGGUGAGUCGACCCCUAAGGCGAGGCCGAAAGGCGUAGUCGAUGGGAAACAGGUUAAUAUUCCUGUACUCGGUGUUACUGCGAAGGGGGGACGGAGAAGGCUAUGUUGGCCGGGCGACGGUUGUCCCGGUUUAAGCAUGUAGGCGGAUGUUCCAGGUAAAUCCGGAACGUUAUUAACGCUGAGGUGUGAUGACGAGGCACUACGGUGCUGAAGUGACAAAUGCCCUGCUUCCAGGAAAAGCCUCUAAGCAUCAGGUAACAUCAAAUCGUACCCCAAACCGACACAGGUGGUCAGGUAGAGAAUACCAAGGCGCUUGAGAGAACUCGGGUGAAGGAACUAGGCAAAAUGGUGCCGUAACUUCGGGAGAAGGCACGCUGAUGGUAGGUGAAGUGACUUGCUCAUGGAGCUGAAAUCAGUCGAAGAUACCAGCUGGCUGCAACUGUUUAUUAAAAACACAGCACUGUGCAAACACGAAAGUGGACGUAUACGGUGUGACGCCUGCCCGGUGCCGGAAGGUUAAUUGAUGGGGUUAUCCGUAAGGAGAAGCUCUUGAUCGAAGCCCCGGUAAACGGCGGCCGUAACUAUAACGGUCCUAAGGUAGCGAAAUUCCUUGUCGGGUAAGUUCCGACCUGCACGAAUGGCGUAAUGAUGGCCAGGCUGUCUCCACCCGAGACUCAGUGAAAUUGAACUCGCUGUGAAGAUGCAGUGUACCCGCGGCAAGACGGAAAGACCCCGUGAACCUUUACUAUAGCUUGACACUGAACACUGGUCCUUGAUGUGUAGGAUAGGUGGGAGGCUUUGAAGUGUGGACGCCAGUCUGCAUGGAGCCAUCCUUGAAAUACCACCCUUUAAUGGCUGGUGUUCUAACGUGGGCCCGUAAUCCGGGUUGCGGACAGUGUCUGGUGGGUAGUUUGACUGGGGCGGUCUCCUCCUAAAGAGUAACGGAGGAGCACGAAGGUCAGCUAAUCCUGGUCGGACAUCAGGAGGUUAGUGCAAUGGCAUAAGCUGGCUUGACUGCGAGCGUGACGGCGCGAGCAGGUGCGAAAGCAGGUCAUAGUGAUCCGGUGGUUCUGAAUGGAAGGGCCAUCGCUCAACGGAUAAAAGGUACUCCGGGGAUAACAGGCUGAUACCGCCCAAGAGUUCAUAUCGACGGCGGUGUUUGGCACCUCGAUGUCGGCUCAUCACAUCCUGGGGCUGAAGUAGGUCCCAAGGGUAUGGCUGUUCGCCAUUUAAAGUGGUACGCGAGCUGGGUUUAGAACGUCGUGAGACAGUUCGGUCCCUAUCUGCCGUGGGCGCUGGAGAAUUGAGGGGGGCUGCUCCUAGUACGAGAGGACCGGAGUGGACGCAUCACUGGUGUUCGGGUUGUCAUGCCAAUGGCAUUGCCCGGUAGCUAAAUGCGGAAGAGAUAAGUGCUGAAAGCAUCUAAGCACGAAACUUGCCCCGAGAUGAGUUCUCCCUGACUCCUUGAGAGUCCUGAAGGAACGUUGAAGACGACGACGUUGAUAGGCCGGGUGUGUAAGCGCAGCGAUGCGUUGAGCUAACCGGUACUAAUGAACCGUGAGGCUUAACCUUACAACGCCGAAG